rnacentral:snRNA from 1 species
AUCGCUUCUCGGCCUUUUGGCUAAGAUCAAGUGUACAUGUGAGGCAAGUGUUCAACCACUGAGCCACAACCCCAGCCCCUGCCUACAUCUCUUUUAUCCAUGCAUGCAAAUGUCAUUUUAUUUUCUUCUGGUAAUGAAAUUUAUUUUUAAAUUAAUAUUGUCUUUCGUUAUUUAUAGCAAUUUUGGAAAACAUAGAAAAGCACAU